CUUAAAUGCUCCGAAUUAAACUUAAUUUUCAUCCAAGUCAUUACUCAUGAGUUCAUGACACAAGCGUUCAACAUGUAUAGCGUUUAGCUCUCAAAUCUUUAUAGCUUCAAAUUUCCCACAAUUUUCGUUUAUAACCUUCCUCUCUUCUCUUGGACAUUGUGUUCGAAGCUAAUCCUACAAAAAAAUGAGUUUAUUGUUAGUACUUAGUAAGGGAAGUAUUUACUUGAAUUUCAUCUAUCGCAAUUUUGGUCAUUUUAAUAUAAAAUUGAAUCUUCUACUGGAAAUUUUAUAUUUUUCUUAAUUUCAUACAUAUUUUGCAGCAAUCGAAGAAAGGACAUGGAGAAAAGAUUGUUAUUUACCCAGAUAAAUAUGGGUUACUGUUAUUGGUUUGUGCGCGAUAACUGAACUAUAUUUAUUUCUUUUUGUUUGGAGUUUGGAAAUAUUUCUAUGCUCUUGGUGUAGCUUCCAAACUGAGAUGUACCUGAGUGGGUCUGCAAUGCCAUGGAGGUUGCUGAACCAAUGUUUUUUCAUGCUGUGGAUGAUCGUUGUCACUUUCCAAGCAGGUUCUUUAUAAUUAAUCAUGUGCUCGACAGGACGACAGGUGAUGCAACUGCAGCUUGUAAUCUUAUUGGAUUUAUGUGCCAAUUUUUUACCAGGUGGUGUAAAAGCAAUAUUAUCAAGUGGUAUAUUUGAGGUGUGGAUGAUGACGUAGGUAUGACUCAAAGUCCAUAAUCAAGUCUUUAAUAAAGAAGGGGGUGGGGGGCUUGUUGCCUAUCCCCUUAUUUCAGCUAUUUGUUUGAUUUUAGUAAUGAGCACUCAUAUUUCUUUUUUUCACCUGUAAGGAUGAGUUGGGUCGGGUUACUCUGAGGACCCGACCUAAGUCAUCCUUACGAAUGAAAAGAAGAUAUAUAUAUAUAGAGAGAGGAGGGGGGAUAUCAGCUUUAAGCCUUCAACUGAGGACUAAUCUUUGUAAAUAACAGAAGAUAUUCUCACAGAGAAAAUGUAUAACUAAACACUUGCUCGGCAAUCUAGCUGAGACUGAGAUCCAUGAUUCAGAGUAGACACUUGUAUAAUAUUGUAAAUUUGUAAGGUCUGUAAUGGAUCUACUUAGAUAAUAAGUGUUGUUAUUUGUUUUU